GAGCUAACGCGUUAAGUAGACCGCCUGGGGAGUACGGCCGCAAGGUUAAAACUCAAAUGAAUUGACGGGGGCCCGCACAAGCGGUGGAGCAUGUGGUUUAAUUCGAUGCAACGCGAAGAACCUUACCUGGUCUUGACAUCCACAGAAGAAUCCAGAGAUGGAUUUGUGCCUUCGGGAACUGUGAGACAGGUGCUGCAUGGCUGUCGUCAGCUCGUGUUGUGAAAUGUUGGGUUAAGUCCCGCAACGAGCGCAACCCUUAUCCUUUGUUGCCAGCGGUUAGGCCGGGAACUCAAAGGAGACUGCCAGUGAUAAACUGGAGGAAGGUGGGGAUGACGUCAAGUCAUCAUGGCCCUUACGACCAGGGCUACACACGUGCUACAAUGGCGCAUACAAAGAGAAGCGACCUCGCGAGAGCAAGCGGACCUCAUAAAGUGCGUCGUAGUCCGGAUUGGAGUCUGCAACUCGACUCCAUGAAGUCGGAAUCGCUAGUAAUCGUGGAUCAGAAUGCCACGGUGAAUACGUUCCCGGGCCUUGUACACACCGCCCGUCACACCAUGGGAGUGGGUUGCAAAAGAAGUAGGUAGCUUAACCUUCGGGAGGGCGCUUACCACUUUGUGAUUCAUGACUGGGGUGAAGUCGUAACAAGGUAACCGUAGGGGAACCUGCGGUUGGA
rnacentral:rRNA from 1 species